AGCGAACGCUGGCGGCAGGCCUAACACAUGCAAGUCGAACGGAUCCUUCGGGAUUAGUGGCGGACGGGUGAGUAACACGUGAGAACGUGCCCUUUGGUUCGGAACAACUCAGGGAAACUUGAGCUAAUACCGGAUGUGCCCUUCGGGGGAAAGAUUUAUCGCCAUUGGAGCGGCCCGCGUCUGAUUAGCUAGUUGGUGAGGUAAAGGCUCACCAAGGCGACGAUCAGUAGCUGGUCUGAGAGGAUGAUCAGCCACAUUGGGACUGAGACACGGCCCAAACUCCUACGGGAGGGAGCAGUGGGGAAUCGUGCGCAAUGGGCGAAAGCCUGACGCAGCCAUGCCGCGUGAAUGAUGAAGGUCUUAGGAUUGUAAAAUUCUUUCACCGGGGACGAUAAUGACGGUACCCGGAGAAGAAGCCCCGGCUAACUUCGUGCCAGCAGCCGCAGUAACAC
rnacentral:rRNA from 1 species